rnacentral:rRNA from 1 species
UACGGAGGGUGCAAGCGUUAUCCGGAUUCACUGGGUUUAAAGGGUGUGUAGGCGGAUAGGUAAGUCCGUGGUGAAAUCCUGCAGCUUAACUGCAGAACUGCCAUGGAUACUAUUUAUCUUGAAUGUCGUGGAGGUUAGCAGAAUAUGUCAUGUAGCAGUGAAAAUGCUUAGAGAUGACAUAGAAUACCCAUUGCGAAAGGCAGCUAACUACGCGAAUAUUGACGCUGAUGCACGAAAGCGUGGGGGAUCAAAACAGG